rnacentral:misc_RNA from 1 species
UGUCAGUCAAUUUCUAAUUUCUAACUCCUAAAUCCAAAUUCCAAUCCAAUGUUUGUGAUUUUUUAUUUAAAUUUCGGUAGAUAAAUAAUUGAUUCAGUUAUAGAUAGAAGUCUGUAAUCCAUUUUGCUGAAAUGGUAGUAUACAUUUUCAGUUCUUUGCUUUAACAUAACCAAUCAAAGUCACACAUCAUUAGCAAUAAUUAAAUAAUUAAUUUCCGUUCUUUUUCAAAUUGGUAUCAAAAACAUUUUAAAGUAACAAGAGCAUAAACCAUGUUAUCACUAUUGAAAACAAGAGUAGAAGGCACAAAACAAUCAUCAUGGCUCUAAAAUGAACUUUAAAUCUAGAAAUGUCUUCAAUUGUCUAUUCUUUCGACCCUGGCUAGGAGUGCCAUUGGGGAUAUGGGUUGCUGUGUCUGUGGUUUAUUACUGGUGGUUGAUAUCAAGGAUCGAUGUUUUGGAGACAGAGAACAAGGUGAUAAAGAGGAGGUUAUCCCUGAAUAUACUGCCUCAUCAUGUAGGAGAAUCUGAGAAUAGCUAUUUAGUUCCACAGAUCCCAGAUGAAACAGGGACAUUGUGUGAGACUGUGCACAUAGCGUUGGUGUGUAUGGGAAAAUGCACAUGGAUCAUCACUCCCAUGUUGAAAUCCUUGCUGCAUCACCGACAGAACCCUUUACACUUUCAUUUUAUUGUCGGAACUGGUUCUGAACGCACUAUCAGUAAGCUGUUUGAUACUUGGGACUUGCCUGAUGUUAAUUACACCUGUUACAACGUUCAGAACAGAUUGUCGGAGGUACAAUGGAUACCAAACAGACACUACUCGGGUAUCUACGCUCUGGUCAAGUUACUUUUCCCCAGCCUACUGCCCAUGUACUUGAGACAAGCGAUUGUACUGGACUCCGACUUGACAUUCCUGUGUGAUGUUGCUGAGCUGUGGCGUAUGUUCAAUAAUAUGACUGAAGAGCAGUACAUAGGUUUAGUUGAAAACGAAAGCAACUGGUAUACAAAUACAGAGAUUCGCUGGCCAGCUCUGGGAAGAGGCUUUAACACCGGUGUAAUGUUGCUUGAUUUGCACAAAAUAAGGAAGACCACCAACUGGACGGCUGUAUGGCAUCUAGCUGUCAACACCAACUUGGAAAGGCUGAAAGAAACCACUUUAGCUGACCAGGAUAUCAUAAAUGCAAUAAUUAAGAUGAAUCCAUACAUAGUUUACAAUAUGAGUUGUCGGUACAAUGUACAGAUGUCGAUGCUUACUCUGGCAAAGAAUUGUUACGGAGAGGAUGUGCAAAAUGUUAAAAUUAUUCACUGGAAUUCGCCCAGCAAAUACAGCAUCCGUAUACGAGACUCGGACUUCUUUAGAAACAUACACCAGUCUUACGUAAACUUUGACGGCAAUUUGUUGAGGGAAAAAUUGCAUAAAUGUUCACAAAGUGAAGUCGUCACUUACAAGAUGAACCACUCCGACUUGUGUCUAACGUUCCGCGCGGCGCAGAGAAUCAAACUGCGCACACAUCUCUACUACAUGGACUACAAUUACAUGGACAUAGACAACUUUGACGUGACGCUCGUGUUGCAGUUGUCUAUGGAUAGACUGCAGUUUUUGGAGAGGCUCGUUAAGCAUUGGGAAGGUCCAUUAAGCGCUGCAAUAUAUCUGUCAGACUGCGAAGUGACGAAGUUAGAGAGUUUCAUACGCGACUGGUCGUCUACUCUCAGCUCUAGGACUAACAUCGGCUACCAUUUAGUGUUCAAACAUGAUACGUUACACUACCCGGUGAACUACCUUCGCAACGUGGCGUUGGAGAACGUCAACACGCCAUACGUGUUCCUGAUGGACGCCGACUUCGUGCCCAUGGCGGGCCUGUACGACCACCUGCGUACCGCUACGAAACUGAUCAACCCGUAUCCACAAAAGAAGUGCCUCGUCGUACCAGCGUUUGAAACGCAGCGUUACCGCGCGUCGCCACCUCGCUACAAGCGCGAGCUGAUGUCGCGCCUGUCGCUGCAGCACGCGGCGGGCGACGUGGCGCCGUUCAGGGCGCGCGAGUGGCCGCGGGGGCAUCGCGCCACCAACUACGUCAAGUGGACCACUGCCACUGCGCCCUAUGACAGUGGGAAGCAGAUUACGAACCCUAUUUGGUAGUUCAUCGGACGGUGCCCAAAUAUGACACACGCUUUUCGGGAUUUGGAUGGAAUAAGGUGUCCCACAGCGUGGAGCUGAAGGCGAAGGGCUACAGCCUGACGGUGCUCCCCGACGCGUUCGUGGUGCACACGCCGCACGCGCCUUCGCC